GCCCGGGUGGCGGAACUGGUAGACGCAAGGGACUUAAAAUCCCUCGGGCGUAUAGCCCGUGCCGGUUCGAGUCCGGCCCCGGGCACCA
rnacentral:tRNA from 1 species